rnacentral:rRNA from 1 species
CCUACGGGUGGCAGCAGUGAGGAAUAUUGGUCAAUGGGCGAGAGCCUGAACCAGCCAAGUCGCGUGAAGGAUGACGGCCCUACGGGUUGUAAACUUCUUUUGUCAGGGAGCAAUUGGGUCCACGCGUGGGCUUAGCGAGAGUACCUGAAGAAAAAGCAUCUGCUAACUCCGUGCCAGCAGCCGCGGUAAUACGGAGGAUGCGAGCGUUAUCCGGAUUUAUUGGGUUUACAGGGUGCGCUGGCGGAGGCACAAGUCAGCGGUAAAAUCGCGGGGCUCAACCCCGCUCCGCCGUUGAAACUGGGUACCUUGAGUGCGCGAGAGGUAGGCGGAAGUCGUGGUGUAGCGGUGAAAUGCUUAGAUAUCACGAAGAACCCCGAUGGCGAAGGCAGCCUGCCGCAGCGUUACUGACGCUGAGGCUCGAAAGCGCGGGUAUCGAACAGGAUUAGAUACCCUAGUAGUC